rnacentral:sRNA from 1 species
UAAGGAAAGGGUUAUGAUGCACCAGGUCCCCCUCUGAUUGGCUGUUAGUAAGCUGCGAAACUUAUCAGUAACAGAACAAUCAGUAUGAUGACCUGGUGCAUCAUAACCCUUUCCUUAUU